rnacentral:rRNA from 1 species
AUUGAACGCUGGCGGCAGGCCUAACACAUGCAAGUCGAACGAGUGGCGGACGGGUGAGUAAUGUCUGGGAAACUGCCUGAUGGAGGGGGAUAACUACUGGAAACGGUAGCUAAUACCGCAUACCAUCAGAUGUGCCCAGAUGGGAUUAGCUUUUUGGUGGGGUAACGGCUCACCAAGGCGACGAUCCCUAGCCGGUCUGAGAGGAUGACCACCCACACUGGAACGGGGAACCGGUCCAGACUCCUACGUGGGGAAGCAUUGGGGAUUAUUGCACAAUGGGCGAAAGCCGGAUGCAGCCAUGCCGCGUGUAUGAAGAAGGCCUUCGGGUUGUAAAGUACGUUCAGCGGGGAGGCGUUACCCGCAGAAGAAGCACCGGCUAACUCCGUGCCAGCAGCCGCGGUAAUAC